rnacentral:rRNA from 1 species
GAUGAACGCUGGCGGCGUGCUUAACACAUGCCAGUCGAACGAUGAAGCCCAGCUUGCUGGGUGGAUUAGUGGCGAACGGGUGAGUAACACGUGAGUAACCUGCCCUUAACUCUGGGAUAAGCCUGGGAAACUGGGUCUAAUACCGGAUAGGAGCGUCCACCGCAUGGUGGGUGUUGGAAAGAUUUAUCGGUUUUGGAUGGACUCGCGGCCUAUCAGCUUGUUGGUGAGGUAAUGGCUCACCAAGGCGACGACGGGUAGCCGGCCUGAGAGGGUGACCGGCCACACUGGGACUGAGACACGGCCCAGACUCCUACGGGAGGCAGCAGUGGGGAAUAUUGCACAAUGGGCGCAAGCCUGAUGCAGCGACGCCGCGUGAGGGAUGACGGCCUUCGGGUUGUAAACCUCUUUCAGUAGGGAAGAAGCGAAAGUGACGGUACCUGCAGAAGAAGCACCGGCUAACUACGU